GCCUGGCGUAGCUCAGACGGUAGAGCAUCAGACUUUUAAUCUGAGGGUCCAGUGUUCAAGUCCCUGUUCAGGCU